ACAACCGUUAGCGGUGGAUCACUCGGUUCGUGU
rnacentral:rRNA from 1 species